UUUAAAGUGUAAUGUAAGUCGCUUUGGAUAAAAGCGUCUGCCAAAUGACAUGUA
rfam:Gasterosteus aculeatus cont1.006202, whole genome shotgun sequence.